rnacentral:misc_RNA from 1 species
CAGGCGAAAGUUUUCAGAGCAAAAUGGAAGGAAUUCAGUCAAAACAAUAUCAAAACUCAGACUGCAAGGAGGGAGGCAAUAACUACAUAAUAAUAGUCCAAAACAACCAAUAAUCGAGAUCUGAAAAAUACUCUAAAAUCAUCGAUAGAAAACUGUAAGAAGAUGAUAAGCCCUGCCAAGUGCACUUAAGACCUUGGCUUCUCCUUCUUCUCCUUGAAAAGGGCAAGGAGAGACACACCAGACACCUUCACGACCUUGAAUCGAACACCAGGAAUAUCUCCGACUGCAUGUCCUUUACGACCGAAUCCGGCAAUCAACACUUCGUCAUUUUCUUCAAUGUAAUUCAAACAUCCAUCAUUGGGUACGAAUGCGGCAAUCUUCUUUCCAUUUUUGAUGAGUUGAACCCGGGCACAUUUUCUAAUGGCAGAAUUUGGCUGCUUAGCCUCAAUACCUAUCUUUUCCAACACAAUGCCUUUAGCAUGAGAAGACCCGGCAAAUGGCUUCUUCCAUUCAUUG